rnacentral:rRNA from 1 species
UACGUAGGGUCCGAGCGUUGUCCGGAAUUAUUGGGCGUAAAGAGCGUGUAGGCGGCCAGGUAGGUCUGCUGUGAAAACUCGAGGCUCAACCUCGAGACGUCGGCGGAAACCAUCCGGCUAGAGUCCGGAAGAGGAGAGUGGAAUUCCUGGUGUAGCGGUGAAAUGCGCAGAUAUCAGGAAGAACACCCGUGGCGAAGGCGGCUCUCUGGGACGGUACUGACGCUGAGACGCGAAAGCGUGGGGAGCGAACAGG